GGAACCACACAUUGUAUAAAGAAAGUAUAUCCAAAAGUUUUAUUUCAUUCUGAAAAAAAGGACCAAAAAUUCAGUAGAUCAUAAACAUAAUGAGAGUCGUGUGACACAUAUAAAUCAUCUCCACACUCUAACUACAGAAAUUGUAAUGCAAUCAAGGUCAGAUAGUUCCUUCCUGUAACAUUAAUAUAUUAGUUCAACAGAAAUAAUUGCAUUGAAGUCCUUCCUCCAGAAUUCCAUUUUAUCUGCAAAAAAAAGUCCUUUCUGUUUACACAACAGAAAUACCAGACAGCUUAUUAUUCUAAAUAAAAAUAAAAACAAAGGAAAACAGUUAGAAAGUGGAAGAAACCCUAGAAAUGAAAGAUUUAAACAAGCGAGAAGAUGAGAGGGAAGGGAAAGCACCUUUCACUUUCUGUCUAUCUCUUCGCUUCUGUUUGGCUUUGGUUGUGCGCCGUUAACUAACUGUGUAUUGUUACUAUCAAAAGAUGGUACUGUUAUAUGGAUCUUUAUAUAUAGUGGGAGAGAGAAAG
rnacentral:lncRNA from 1 species